ACGUAGGGGGCAAGCGUUAUCCGGAUUUACUGGGUGUAAAGGGAGCGUAGACGGCGAAGCAAGUCUGAAGUGAAAACCCAGGGCUCAACCCUGGGACUGCUUUGGAAACUGUUUUGCUAGAGUGUCGGAGAGGUAAGUGGAAUUCCUAGUGUAGCGGUGAAAUGCGUAGAUAUUAGGAGGAACACCAGUGGCGAAGGCGGCUUACUGGACGAUAACUGACGUUGAGGCUCGAAAGCGUGGGGAGCAAACAG
rnacentral:rRNA from 2 species